CCAACGGCUCUUUUUAGUGCCACCAACUUCUGAAUACAGAUAGAA
rfam:Necator americanus N_americanus-1.0_Cont166.10, whole genome shotgun sequence.